AUGGGAUUCCGGGACUUUGCUCAAUUCAACCUAGCUUUGCUAGGAAAACACGGUUGGAGGCUCAUUACACAUCCCAAUUCCUUGUGCUCCAGAGUUUUAAAGGGCAAGUAUUUCCCUAACUGUCAUUUUUUGGAGGCAACAGCACCCAAGUCUGCAUCCACAACAUGGAAGGCCAUAAUUGCCGGUCGUGCUGCGGUUGAAACUGGACUGAUCAAAAGGGUGGGGAAUGGUGAUUCCAUCUCCAUAUGGGAAGAUCGUUGGAUCCCCAACACUUCCACGCUCAAGCCCAUAGGGCGUCUUGGCAAUGAUCAUGUUCAAAAGGUGUCAGAGUUAAUUGACCAUCAGAAUGGGUCUUGGCUGGUGGAUAAGGUACAUAGCAUUUUCCUUGCUCCGGGUGCAGAUGCAACAUUAAACAUUCCGUUAAGAGCUUCUUGUGGGGAGGACUUCUAUGCUUGGGCCUUGGAAAAAUCAGGUGUUUAUUCUGUCAAAACGGCAUAUCGUGCUCUAAUGACUCGGAUCGAGCAAUCAGCUCAAGAGGAAGGAACGAUAGCGGAAACUUCAUCGUCAAAUAAACACCUUUGGACAGCCUUGUGGAAACUCAAGGUCAUUCCAAGAGUCCGCGUCUUUUGGUGGCGAGUCUUGCGAGGUAUUUUGCCGGACUACGUCACUCUGCAACAUCGCCAUAUUAGGAGGAUGGCGAGAUGCGAUCUAUGCAAUGCGGCAGAGGAAGAUCUGCAACAUGCAGUUGUAGCCUGCUCACACGCCAAGCAGUAUUGGUCUGCAGCGAGAGACCUUUUGGGCCUCAAACUACCCAGAUUACAUCCUGCGACUUGGGCGAAGGACAUAUUGAUGGACGACAUGAUCGCAGACCAAGAUAGAUGCAAGAUUGUGACUAUCAUGCAUGCAAUAUGGUCUGCCAGAAAUCGACGGACUCAUGACAAGGUUCCGUUCAAUCCUUUUCAUGCUGUGAAGACCAUCCGAGAUGAUCUACUACUUCUAGAAAUUCCAAAACCUGCUAGUGCUGUCUUGGGGGUGCAAUGGUGCCCACCUGAUGUUGGCUGGGUCGAAAUCAACACGGAUGGGGCGAUAAACAGCGAAGUACAUUGUGCUGGGGAGGUGGUGUAG
rnacentral:rRNA from 1 species